AACAAACGCUGGCGGCGUGCCUAAUACAUGCAAGUCGAACGGGGAAAGCUUUCGGGUGAGUACUAGUGGCGCACGGGUGAGUAACGCGUGGAUAAUCUGCCUUAGAGUGGGGGAUAACUAGUCGAAAGAUUAGCUAAUACCGCAUAAGACCACAAGAACUGCGGUUCAAGGGGUCAAAGGUUUUUCGCUCUAAGAUGAGUCCGCGUAAGAUUAGCUAGUUGGUAGGGUAACGGCGUACCAAGGCGACGAUCUUUAACUGGUCUGAGAGGAUGAUCAGUCACACUGGAACCGAGACACGGUCCAGACUCCUACGGGAGGCAGCAGUAGGGAAUAUUGCACAAUGGAGGAAACUCUGAUGCAGCGACGCCGCGUGAGUGAUGAAGGCCUUCGGGUCGUAAAGCUCUGUCGCAGGGGAAUAACACAAUGAAGGUACCCUGUAAGAAAGGAUCGGCUAACUUCGUGCCAGCCGCCGCCGUAAAAC
rnacentral:rRNA from 1 species